CCCCGACACUUUUGAUCUAAAUUAUAAGGAUUAAAGGCGAGGGGGUGGAGGGCACAGACACACAAACAGCCACCGGAAAAAUAACAGUAAUAAGGAGAAAGCUUGAAAAAGAAAAGGAAAAAAAAAAUAAAAUAAAAUGAAAGAGGCUUUGCCCCCUCCUCCUCCCCCCCCCACCCCACACACACACACAGCGUGAGCCCCGGUGACCCCAAGCCCUGCCCUUGCUUUUAGCAGGGAGAGAAAAAAACAAAAAACAAAAAACAAAACACCACCAAACCAUCGCUCUGCGGAGAUGAAAAAGAAAGGGAAAAAAUAGGGAAAAAAUUAAAAUAGGGAAAAAAAAAAAUAAAGAGAAAUAAAAGCAAAAGCACAAAGCGGCGGCUCCAGCCCAGCCCCGGGGGCAGCAGCCGCGGCCCCCCCCGGGGUCACCCCCGAGUGACAGCUCCGUGCUCCCCCCCGCCUCGGGAGCUCGCAGGGACCCCCCCGGGGACCCCGUGCCACCCCCCAAAAGCCGAGGCACCCCCUCUUGGCCCCCCCAGCCCCCCCUUUUUCCCUUUAUCCGCGCUGCGGGUGCUGCCACCUGCGCCGGUGCGCAGAGCGCGGCGCAUCCUGCGCGCCCCGCGGCCGGGCUGGGGGGGCUCUGGCUCCGCUUUUUGGGGAAAAGGGGGGGGGGGGGAGGACACGACAGGGGGGGGGGGGGGGGGGGGGGGGGGUGGGGGGGGGAGUAAAAACCUUCCCCCGGCCGCCUGCUGCAGUGAAGCCUUUCGCUCAGCUCCCGAGUGGUGCAAAAAAAAAAAAAAAAAAAAAAAAAAAAGGGGAAAAAAAAAAAAAAAGAGAGAGGAGAGAGAGAGGAGAGGGAGAGAGAGAGAGGGGCCCAUCUGGCUUCUCAUCAGCUUUGUCAAGUCUUGCAUACGCUAAAAUGCUAAUGACCUAGAUAGCUCAUGCAAAAUGCAGCAGAGAGAGAGGGAGGGAGCAGCGAGGGAGGAGGGAGGGAGGGAGGGGGAAAGGCAGAGGGAGGGGGGAGCCCGGGUGCAUCGCCCCCUCCCCU
rnacentral:lncRNA from 1 species